rnacentral:rRNA from 1 species
ACUUGGAUAACCGUGGUAAUUCUAGAGCUAAUACAUGCUGAAAAUCCCGACUUCGGAAGGGAUGUGUUUAUUAGAUAAAAAACCAAUGCCCUUCGGGGCUUUUUGGUGAUUCAUGAUAACUUUACGGAUCGCAUAGCCUUGCGCUGGCGACGGUUCAUUCAAAUUUCUGCCCUAUCAACUUUCGAUGGUAAGGUAUUGGCUUACCAUGGUUUCAACGGGUAACGGGGAAUUAGGGUUCGAUUCCGGAGAGGGAGCCUGAGAAACGGCUACCACAUCCAAGGAAGGCAGCAGGCGCGCAAAUUACCCAAUCCCGACACGGGGAGGUAGUGACAAUAAAUACUGAUACAGGGCUCUUUUGGGUCUUGUAAUUGGAAUGAGUACAAUUUAAACCUCUUAACGAGGAACAAUUGGAGGGCAAGUCUGGUGCCAGCAGCCGCGGUAAUUCCAGCUCCAAUAGCGUAUAUUAAAGUUGUUGCAGUUAAAAAGCUCGUAGUUGAAACUUGGGCCUGGCUGGCGGGUCCGCCUCACCGCGUGCACUCGUCCGGCCGGGCCUUCCUUCUGAAGAACCUCAUGCCCUUCACUGGGCGUGCUGGGGAAUCAGGACUUUUACUUUGAAAAAAUUAGAGUGUUCAAAGCAGGCCUUUGCUCGAAUACGUUAGCAUGGAAUAAUAAAAUAGGGCGUGCGUUUCUAUUUUGUUGGUUUCUAGAGACGCCGCAAUGAUUAACAGGAACAGUCGGGGGCAUCAGUAUUCAGUUGUCAGAGGUGAAAUUCUUGGAUUUACUGAAGACUAACUACUGCGAAAGCAUUUGCCAAGGAUGUUUUCAUUAAUCAGUGAACGAAAGUUAGGGGAUCGAAGACGAUCAGAUACCGUCGUAGUCUUAACCGUAAACUAUGCCGACUAGGGAUCGGGCGAUGUUCUUUUUCUGACUCGCU